ACCCGCUGAACUUAAGCAUAUCAAUAAGCGGAGGAAAAGAAACCAACAGGGAUUACCUCAGUAACGGCGAGUGAAGCGGUAACAGCUCAAAUUUGAAAUCUGGCUCUUUUAGGGUCCGAGUUGUAAUUUGUAGAAGAUGCUUCGGGUGUGGCUCCGGUCUAAGUUCCUUGGAACAGGACGUCAUAGAGGGUGAGAAUCCCGUAUGUGACCGGUGGCUUCCGCCCAUGUGAAGCUCUUUCGACGAGUCGAGUUGUUUGGGAAUGCAGCUCUAAAUGGGUGGUAUAUUUCAUCUAAAGCUAAAUAUUGGCCAGAGACCGAUAGCGCACAAGUAGAGUGAUCGAAAGAUGAAAAGCACUUUGGAAAGAGAGUUAAACAGUACGUGAAAUUGUUGAAAGGGAAGCGCUUGCAACCAGACUUGCACGCCAUUGAUCAUCCCAGGUUCUCCUGGGUGCACUCGGUGGUGUUCAGGCCAGCAUCGGUUUUGGUGGUUGGAUAAAGGCCUUGGGAAUGUGGCUCCUCUCGGGGAGUGUUAUAGCCCUCGGUGCAAUGCAGCCUACCGAGACCGAGGACCGCGCUUCGGCUAGGAUGCUGGCGUAAUGGUUGUAAGCGACCCGUCUUGAAACACGGACCAAGGAGUCUAACAUCUAUGCGAGUGUUUGGGUGUCAAACCCAUACGCGUAAUUAACGUGAACGGAGGUGAGAACCCUUUAGGGUGCAUCAUCGACCGAUCCUGAUGUCUUCGGAUGGAUUUGAGUAAGAGCAUAGCUGUUGGGACCCGAAAGAUGGUGAACUAUGCCUAAAUAGGGUGAAGCCAGAGGAAACUCUGGUGGAGGCUCGCAGCGGUUCUGACGUGCAAAUCGAUCGUCAAAUUUGGGUAUAGGGGCGAAAGACUAAUCGAACCAUCUAGUACUGGUUCCUGC
rnacentral:rRNA from 1 species